rnacentral:lncRNA from 10 species
GAGUGACACCUGGGCUUGGCUUCCUUCCCUGCCCUGUCCUGUCUCCCCUGUGCAGCCUCCCCUGAAGCGCGGGUCUACAAACCUCAUCCCAGGACCCGUUUCUAGGAGACAGUGAGGCUAAGACCCAGUGCCUGCCCGAUGCAUUAACAGAUGGAAUCCUCCUGAGGACCCUAGGAAGCAGGGAGAAACUCUCCACGGGUGCUGAGAUGUCUUUGACACCUCGCUGAGUAAGGUUGGCAGAGCUUCCUUCACAACAGCCGGAAACGGUUUCCAUUGAAAACCUUCCUCAGGCAGCAGGACAGAAAGCAGACUUGGGUGACACCUUUUGUUUCUCUGUGUUCACUUUCACCAUCACCUACUCUUCCGGUAAGUGAUAUCGGCUUUCCGAUUAGGGGGUGAUCUGAGCUUUCCUCUUUACGUCCAUUUAUUUGCCUACAGAGAAAGUGAGUAUUUGUUUUUAAAGUGAGCAAAUAGCAGUUC